rnacentral:rRNA from 1 species
UACAGAGGGUGCGAGCGUUGUCCGGAAUCACUGGGCGUAAAGGGCGCGUAGGUGGCGCUCCAAGUCUGUGGUGAAAGCUCGACGCUCAACGUCGAGUCGGCCAUAGAGACUGGAGGGCUCGAGCACUGUAGGGGCAGAUGGAAUUCCGGGUGUAGCGGUGGAAUGCGUAGAGAGUCCGGAAGAACACCGGUGGCGAAGGCGGUCUGGACUGGGCCGAGUUGCUGGACACUGGAGGCGCGACAGCGUGGGGAGCA